AAACACCCACUCUUCACAGCACGCAUCACUCGCACACAGUGCGUAUAAGACAUGCGAAAGUGGUGCGGACGGCCCGAUUUCAUUCCAUCUUCUCCGCAUCGAGCCGUGGCUUAUGUAUCGUUGUCAGUCCGCCUUGAAGCUCUUGGAGAUAAAUGACCGCUACCGCAUCUUUCACCGACUCCGCCCAUCCACGGUAGUGGACUUGGCCGCGGCUCCCGGCGGAUUCGCGCAGGUGGCGCUGGAGCUGAUGCACCUUCCAGAGAACGCGCCGCAGUCGGCACUGCCUCCAAUGUCGUUGCCGUCGAUCAGCGGUCCAUCGACCCUAUGCCGGGCCUUGUCGCCGUUCGAGGCAACAUCCUCCAGCACCAGCGAAUCCUGCAAACUGUGCAAGGUGCCUUAUCCCUCAUGAGAGCGCCAACAACGUCACCACCGCGCGUGUUGUCGUCCGCGCACACCGCACCUCAGGCGAGGUGUGUGGACAUGGUCCUCCACGACGGCGUCUCUGUCGUCAAGGGGCAACGCGCCUUUUCCGUGACCUACGCGCAAAACCAUAUGGCACUAAGCACUCUGCUGUUGGCCAGUAAACUGUUCCAGCGGCGCGGCCUCAUGCCCGACCUCCUUACCGAUGCGGCGCCGCACCGGUCAAGCAAACCUGAAGGACGCAUCAGUCGCAGCACCUCUGCACCGCGAUCGUCGUCUGCCGUGCUUCCCGUGUGCUUCGUCUCCAAGGUGCUGCAGUGCGAUCACUCUGCGCAAGUCCUCGAAGCCACGCAAGCGCUGUUUCGCUACGUCAGAAUAUUCAAGCCGGUUGCCUCUCGCCCAGAAAGCCUGGAAAGAUAUGUGGUGGCCACCGACUUCCAGCUUGCAGCUUGGCAGCGGCUGACCGCGCCACACGCGCCUACAGUGCCGCGAAAUUGGCAGUGGCGUCAUAAACACCCUCGCUCGACCGCAUCCGUGUCCUUGUUCAGUAUGCCCCCAGCGCUGGAGGAUUGCGGUGAUGCCCAUCACAUUGCUUGGAACUGUCUGGGGUGCGGGCGCACCUGCAUGGGCUGCCAGCCCUGUCUGCAGUGCGGCCCCUACCGUCCAGCGGUGGGUGCAGGAGCGCGAAGCGCGCACUAAGGUGCUUUCACAGGUGGCCUGUGCUCUCUCGUGCCUCACGAAUGCCAAGUACCGCUGAAGGUGGCAAGGAGCCGUUUGGUUGUGCCUUUCGCUGCGUAACAUACUCGCGGAUCACGGCGGCGCAGGCACUUCGUACACACACACUACGACGCCCUGCUUACUCACCAUAUAUAGCGCCUUGUCUGUCUCUCUCUCCCCCCUCUCUCUCGAGGACUCC
rnacentral:misc_RNA from 1 species